AGAGGAAAGAAUAGCUUGAAUAUAAACGGCGUCUGAUAUCGGGCUCUAUCGCAAUUCUGAUACCUUUUAAAAUCUAUACCUACCUAUCUCAGCGUACAUGCAUGGAUUGAAAAAAAUGGCAACUGCCCAUAAACAAACAUGGAAAAACUACAGACUGAAGUGUAUUCUAGCUAAAAAAAAAAAAAAAAAAAAAUAUCCCGAGCCUUGUGAUUCGAAUGUCGAAGAAACGGAACAGUUGCCGCCCUGACCGAGCCGAGGGGCCACGCGCGUCGGUGGUGUGGGUUUGUAGUGUAAGUGGUCCAUAAAGUGAUCUAUUUACGCGACUCGAGCAAGAAACUUCUUGGGUGACGUCCGGGAAUGUCUACUGCAACUAAGGUCCUCCAGCGGCACCAGCUCCAUGAUGUCCAUUGAGGUGUUGGCCAGACCAUGGAGCCUCUCAUUCAUCUCAAACAGAUGGGGUAGGAGUGUUUGAUAGGAGGAGGUUGCCAACUGCUGAAGUUUACGCUAAGAAUAGCAGAAGCACAUAUGAUCAAUUUUUGUUAUUCAUGUUGCUACAUACAAUAUUCCGGUGGGAAAUGACUUGUGUUAUAUAAAUACACCUGUAGAUGUGACCAAGGCUGCCGCUGAUUUAUUUAAGUACACCCAUAGUCUCAGGAUUAAAAUGGAGAAUAAUAUGUCCAGAAAAAUAAAUUAAUAAUUGAAUUUCUCCUACAGAUUAUUAGAAUCAUUAAAUGAGGAACUACUGUAUGAAUGGAGUGGGUUUUGAUUGGGUCUUGAGGAAAUGACUUGGAAAAAAUAUUUCUCAGCCAGCGGUCAUGUAGUCAUGUGGGGUGGCAUGUAGUUCUUUUGGCCCUGAUGCCCCCAAGCUCGCUGCAUGCCAAACACUGCCGUGUGAUUGAACAAAAGUACUAUUUCAAAUUUUGAUCAUAAUUAGGACUGAAAAUACUGAUUGAGAUUCUAAAUAUCGAGAUGCGAAGUUAACUUCUUAUGGGGAAAAAUGCAAUUGGGACCAAAGCCUUGCCAACUAAUCUAUAUCAACUACGUUAACUUGCCAUUACGAUGAUCGCGUUUCUCACUUCCAGGUUUUUUCACACCUUGUUGUGGUCCUUGACUCCCAUUCUCGCUCUUACCUAUCCCCUGGGCCUUUCCAUUGGCCACAGGAAACAUGGUGAAUGGGAUCCAGGUAGCUAAGUAUGUAAACAACCUUGACCACACGCUGGGUUUGAACAGCUGAUGGGUGGCUGAUGAUGAUUAUGAUGAUGAGUUGGUGGCAUAGCCUUUGUAUCGGUGCCACCUAAACAGUAUUUUUAUUAGGGCUUCUCUGGGUGUGGCUGUGUUUAUUAUGGGUUUAGGCUUUUCAAUUUGCUGAUUCUUAUUUUCCACAUGUUGUAUAAGACUUCUUUCUUUUCUUCCAUCUCUUCUUUUUCAAAAGGUGGGAGAGCAAUUGAAAAAAUCAGUGAUCGAGAUUCGUGUAAUUUGAUUGAGAUAUGUGAAUCAUGGGUUCUUGAUGGUGCAAUCGAGAUGCAAAAUAUCGAGAUGAGAUUGAUUGAGAUUCGUGACUUUACUGUAUAUACUUGUCAACUAUUUCAUAAACCCAUAUUUUUCUCACAAUGGAUCUGAGUGAAUCACAGUGGUCGUGCACAGCAAUGGGAGAAAAAUAAACGGUAAACCAGAAAUAACUAAGAAUCACAUCCCUGGUGGAGUGAACUGCAUAGUCGUACAAUGACAAUUCUCUGUAUGUUAAUUGUGUUGUGAAAACUGUGUCAUGAAGAAUGUGAGUAGAGGAUGAACCCACUUAUUAUUGACUGAACUGAAGACUUAGUC